rnacentral:rRNA from 1 species
GUGCUUAACACAUGCAAGUCGAACGAUGAUGCCCAGCUUGCUGGGUGGAUUAGUGGCGAACGGGUGAGUAACACGUGAGUAACCUGCCCCUGACUCUGGGAUAAGCGUUGGAAACGACGUCUAAUACUGGAUAUGACUGCCGGCCGCAUGGUCUGGUGGUGGAAAGAUUUUUUGGUUGGGGAUGGACUCGCGGCCUAUCAGCUUGUUGGUGAGGUAAUGGCUCACCAAGGCGACGACGGGUAGCCGGCCUGAGAGGGUGACCGGCCACACUGGGACUGAGACACGGCCCAG